ensembl:ncRNA C10F3.12 ncRNA
UCGACAAUGUUGGUAAAAAUUCCACAAUGGAAAGUGCAAUGAUAGUUGUGUAGUGCUCAUAAUUCUCCAUUCCACAAAAUUGGUUCACAGUUCAAUAGAGCGGACGUGCAUACUUCAAGAAUCCGCCAUGAUCCAUAUAUGUUUUGUUU